rnacentral:tRNA from 1 species
GGCUGAAGUUUAGGCGAUAGAUUGUAAAUCUAUAUAUGAAGAAACCCUUC